rnacentral:ncRNA from 1 species
CAACCUCAACUCAUAUGGGACUACCCCCUGAAUUUAAGCAUAUUAAUUAGGGGAGGAAAAGAAACUAACAAGGAUUUUCUUAGUAGCGGCGAGCGAAAAGAAAUCAGUUCAGCACUAAGUCACUUUGUCUAUAUGGCAAAUGUGAGAUGCAGUGUACGGAACAUCAACAUUCUAGUAUGAGAAGUUAACGAUUUAAGUCCUUCUUAAAUGAGGCCAUUUACCCAUAGAGGGUGCCAGGCCCGUAUAACGUUAAUGAUUACUAGAUGGUGUUUCCAAAGAGUCGUGUUGCUUGAUAGUGCAGCACUAAGUGGGUGGUAAACUCCAUCUAAAACUAAAUAUAACCAUGAGACCGAUAGUAAACAAGUACCGUGAGGGAAAGUUGAAAAGAACUCUGAAUAGAGAGUUAAAUAGUACGUGAAACUGCUUAGAGGUUAAGCCCGAUGAACCUGAAUAUCCGUUAUGGAAAAUUCAUCAUUAGAAUUGUAAUAUUUUAAACAAUAUUAUAAUAAUAGUGUGCAUUUUUUCCAUAUAAGGACAUUGUAAUCUAUUAGCAUAAAUAUUUAUCAUAAAAUUAUGUCUGAUUGCUUAUUUGAAUUAUAUGCUUGGCAUUUUAACAUAAAAUAAAAGAUAUAAAUUUGAUAAAGUGCUGAUAGAUUUAUAUGAUUACAGUGCGUUAAUUUUUCGGAAUUAUAUAAUGGCAUAAUUAUCAUUGAUAU